GGCCUAAUACAUGCAAGUCGAACGGUAAGCCUUCUUUCGGGAAGGCACGAGUGGCGCACGGGUGCGUAACGCGUAUGCGAUCUGCCUCUUACUGGGGGAUAGCUCCCGGAAACGGGAAUUAACACCGCAUAACAUCCCGAUAUGGCAUCAUAUCGGGAUCAAAACUCUGGUGGUAAGAGAUGAGCAUGCGUCCCAUUAGCUGGUUGGCAGUGUAACGGACUACCAAGGCGAUGAUGGGUAGGGGGUCUGAGAGGAUGAUCCCCCACACUGGUACUGAGAUACGGACCAGACUCCUACGGGAGGCAGCAGUAGGGAAUAUUGGUCAAUGGGCGAGGGCCUGAACCAGCCAUGCCGCGUGCAGGAAGACGGCCUUCUGGGUUGUAAACUGCUUUUACCGGGGAAGAAAACGUCCAUGCGUGGAUAAUUGACGGUACCCGGCGAAUAAGCACCGGCUAACUCCGUGCCAGCAGCCGCGGUAAUACGGAGGGUGCAAGCGUUGUCCGGAUUUAUUGGGUUUAAAGGGUGCGUAGGCGGUUUUAUAAGUCAGUGGUGAAAGACGUCAGCUUAACUGUCGCAGUGCCAUUGAUACUGUAGGACUUGAGUAUAGUUGAGGUAGGCGGAAUUUAUGGUGUAGCGGUGAAAUGCAUAGAUACCAUAAGGAACCCCGAUAGCGUAGGCAGCUUACUAAACUAUAACUGACGCUGAGGCACG
rnacentral:rRNA from 1 species